rnacentral:lncRNA from 1 species
UAAUGUAAGCUCAGCUCCCUCCUUCCUCUUCAUCUAUAACUUAGCUCAAAUUAGUCAUCCCAAAAUUUAAAAGAAUAUGAAACAUCCACUCUCUUAUCUAAAAUGUUACUACACUUUAUAACCACUAACAUACUAACAUAAAGAGGUUCAUUAAGGGACUAAAGCACAAUAAUCAAGAAUGAAUGUAACACUAUUCAAUUAUAACUCAUACUUAUUG